AAAAAAAAAACUGAAAAUAAAAGUUACUGUAUUAUGGGAUUUUCGCGUACGGUGGUCCAUUCAUACUUGCUAUUCUUUGUGUCAUCGUUGUGGAUUUUAUUUCCGUGUACCUGCCAAGAAAUUUCCGACCAGAAUUUAAAUUAGGACUUUGCUGGUAUUAUGCUAAACGGAAGCCAGCGUUUCUAUUGUAUUUCUACGGGAUUAAAACUGUCUGUAAUAUUAGUAGCGUUUGCUUAUCUAUCUCUGCGGCACUGAAAAUCAGACGCUAUGAAAAGAAUACAGGUCUUUGUCUGACAGAUUCGGAAAGCAGGCGAUAUAAUGACAAUAAGAAAUGGUUUAAUCUAUAUAUGAAGUUAUUUAUUGUGCUGUUUAUAGUGUUGGGCAUAAAUUGGAUUGUGCUUACACUGACAUGGGUGUUUGUAAAAAUAAUGAAUAUUUACCUCGCUUAUUUUAUUGCUUCGUUAGAUAUUAUUACGAGUUUCUGCACCUUUAUCAUAUUUGUAU